AGAAAAGUGAUCCAUUCACUAAAAACGCCAACAGUAAAUUAUGCUCAGUUAACCGGAAGAAUUAGGCUCUUUCUUUUUUAAAUGAGUAAAAUUUAGUCCUUCCACCACUCUCGGCAACCGAAUGGAGAUUAACUUUCAAAUACAUUUUCUUUUAGAUUUAAAGUAUAGGACUUUCUUCGGUUAUGUUCAAACACUAGACCUACUCCGACCCCCAUUUUGGAGAAAUAUAUAUAUCAUACACUUCAUGUUUUAAGAAACCAAAAUGACCAAACUAAUAAAUACAUAUAAAACUCAAAAUGUGGAAGCGACUCCGCACGAAAAUCUAACAUAUCUUCGCCAAUCAAUUAAAAAUCACACCAAUAAACCUCAAGCUUUAACAGACUGGCUUCCUUUGAUGCAAGAAAAGAAUUUAAUACAAUCUUUCUAUUUCUUUUAAAAUGAAUUCUUUUUUCAAGUUAAAAAAAAAUUGAAUUCUUUCACUUGUUAUGUUUCCAACCAGCGAAUUGACAAAAAAGAAAUAAAUUUAAUUGAAUUUUUGCAAAUUUCUAUUUUCCAAACUGGUUGUCUAUUUCUGUAACAAGCUUUGUUGCACUUAAACGCAUUUUUAAGAAAGAUGAGCAAUUAAUCAUCAACAUGAAGGAGCAAAGGCUCAUUCAUCUUUUUGCUAGACUGCAGGGGCAACUGAAUUACUAAAAUGUCCCUUCCGAGCAAAUUGAUGAGAGAAGCUCUCUGCUCUCAAUUCCUUAAUAUGCUGUGUGGCAAUUCCAUUGUAGGAAUAUGUAGGAAAAUGACACAUUUCAUUGAAAUGCAGAAUAAAGAUCAACAUGCAUGCAUCUCAAGAGAAGGCUUCUAACUCAAUAUCACAGCCUUCUGUCUAUGGCACCUCUGUCACAGGCAAUGCAACACCAACAUCCACAUUAUCCACAGGUCCAACACCGACUCUUUCCGUCUCAACUGGCACUUCGUUGGCUGGCUCACCACCUACUACAAAUCAAGUUUCUGAAGGAGACUUGUUGAAAGAUCAAUGAUACAUUUAGUCAUCAUAGAACAUUCAACAUAGAUCAAGUCACAAGGACAUAGGUGGUAGGGAUUAAAUUACUUGGCUUACUCAAGAAAACUUCGUUGAUCUAUUGUAUAAAUAUAUCUUGUCACGGAAAAUUCAUGUGAACAAUGUGGUUUGAGGGCUGUAAGUAUGUAAGGCAAAGGUUAUUACUUUCAUUUGUUUUUGAAAAAUUUGUUCAAACAAACAAUUACUUGAGGAGAGUAGCAACAGGC
rnacentral:misc_RNA from 1 species